rnacentral:rRNA from 1 species
CCUACGGGUGGCUGCAGUGGGGAAUAUUGGGCAAUGGGCGCAAGCCUGACCCAGCAAUGCCGCGUGAAGGAAGAAGGCUUUCGGGUUGUAAACUUCUUUGACUGGAGAAGAGCAGAAGACGGUACCCUGAAAACAAGCCACAGCUAACUACGUGCCAGCAGCCGCGGUAAUACGUAGGUGGCAAGCGUUGUCCGGAUUUACUGGGUGUAAAGGGCGUGUAGCCGGGAAGGCAAGUCAGAUGUGAAAUCUGGAGGCUCAACCUCCAAAUAGCAUUUGACACUGUCUUUCUUGAGUACUGGAGAGGCAGACGGAAUUCCUUGUGUAGCGGUGAAAUGCGUAGAUAUAAGGAGGAACACCAGUGGCGAAGGCGGUCUGCUGGACAGCAACUGACGUUGAGGCGCGAAAGUGUGGGGAGCAAACAGGAUUAGAUACCCGUGUAGUC